GACGAACGCUGGCGGCGUGCUUAACACAUGCAAGUCGAACGAUGAAGCCGGAGCUUGCUCUGGUGAAUUAGUGGCGAACGGGUGAGUAACACGUGAGUAACCUGCCCUUGACUCUGGGAUAACUGCGGGAAACUGUAGCUAAUACCGGAUACGACCCUCGGAGGCAUCUCCUGGGGUGGAAAGAAUUUCGGUCAAGGAUGGACUCGCGGCCUAUCAGCUAGUUGGUGAGGUAAAGGCUCACCAAGGCGACGACGGGUAGCCGGCCUGAGAGGGGGACCGGCCACACUGGGACUGAGACACGGCCCAGACUCCUACGGGAGGCAGCAGUGGGGAAUAUUGCACAAUGGGCGCAAGCCUGAUGCAGCAACGCCGCGUGAGGGAUGACGGCCUUCGGGUUGUAAACCUCUUUUAGCAGGGAAGAAGCGAAAGUGACGGUACCUGCAGAAAAGCACCGGCUAACUACGUGCCAGCAGCCGCCGUAA
rnacentral:rRNA from 1 species